rnacentral:rRNA from 1 species
GACGAGCGCUGGCGGCGUGCUUAACACAUGCAAGUCGAACGGAAAGGCCCUGCUUUUGUGGGGUGCUCGAGUGGCGAACGGGUGAGUAACACGUGAGUAACCUGCCCUUGACUUUGGGAUAACUUCAGGAAACUGGGGCUAAUACCGGAUAGGAGCUCCUGCUGCAUGGUGGGGGUUGGAAAGUUUCGGCGGUUGGGGAUGGACUCGCGGCUUAUCAGCUUGUUGGUGGGGUGGUGGCUUACCAAGGCUUUGACGGGUAGCCGGCCUGAGAGGGUGACCGGCCACAUUGGGACUGAGAUACGGCCCAGACUCCUACGGGAGGCAGCAGUGGGGAAUAUUGCACAAUGGGCGGAAGCCUGAUGCAGCAACGCCGCGUGCGGGAUGACGGCCUUCGGGUUGUAAACCGCUUUCGCCUGUGACGAAGCGUGAGUGACGGUAAUGGGUAAAGAAGCACCGGCUAACUACGUG